CUUCAUUUGAGUUCAAUUAAUAAGAUGGUGUCAGGGCAUCAUGCAGACGACAUAAUACAUGAGGAAAAACAACACAACCCCAGUGACAUCUCUGAUUUUUUUUUCCCGACGCAUGAAAACUAUCUUUUCCAACUUCCAAAAGAUGGAAUAAGACACUUAUUUCCAUACAAAAUACAUUUAGGUCCAUGUUUUUCUUUUAAAGGGGCAACUACACCACGUGAAACAUACAUUCACCGAUAGUCUCAAAAUCAUGUCGAUAUGUAUUUGUCCCCCAUUGGGUGUGGGCAUUUCAAUGAUUUCCAUGACAGCAGAAAGCUAAACUCAAAAUACGAUAAAUGUACAUUAUCUUGAUAAUCAUCAGAGGCAGAGACACUUUUCAGAUUCAUCUUUGGGCAUUAUUCUAUAUGUUUUCAUAUAGAGUUGAAAGUUGUUUCACAGUAUAAAAUCUUGAAUGAAUUGCUAACACACCUUGAUUUUUCUGCUUCUUGCUCUGAAAUGUAUUUGGAUCGGAGGUAAGAGACAAAUGACACUGCUCAAAAGAGCUUCUAGAGACCUUGAUGUGCAAAACUUUCAGAUUCAUAUAUUCAAAAAUAAAUUAUUUUUAAGUGAAAUGGGGAAGAGGUUGAGUCACGGGGUAGGGGGACGCCUAUAGUUUAUACUCUGCAUAAAUAGCUUUCAGUGUCUUCCAGGUGGGGGCAACAGUCAGUCAGUUUUGAGAGAAAGGAGGUCAAGCUCUUUAAGCUCCCUGAGUCGAGUCCGGUUACAGAAGAUGAAAAUGACUUCCUGGCAGUAACACUGUGAAUAAAACAACCGCAAGCCUCCAGAAGAUGAGACUUCUGGGCUCAGCUCCAGCCACCAGGCGGAAAGCAGCGGAUCAGCCACCAGUGCGUGCCAGCUUGAGGGAGAACAGAGGCAGCCCUGGACGCGCACGCGCGCUGAGCACCUGCCCAGCACUGCUGGGAUGCCGGUUACGGCUAAGUCGGUCCAGAUGCGCAUCCCUCGGCGUGCGUGCGGAUCCAGGCUGCUUGUCAGUUUCUGGCCUGCCGGGAUCUUUGAGAAGCAGGACGAUCAUUUGCGUUUACAUCUCAUUCAUUCUUCCUUUAGGCAAUUCAAGUCCAUUCACAACUGGUGCGGACUAGGCGCCGGCAAUCCGCUUUCCGCACAUCCUCAGACUUUGGGAAGGGGCAGCCACACAUUCUGGUCAGAGUGAGGUGACGCAUAAAGCAGAGAUCUGGGUAAAGAAAGUAGAGAACAGAAAGACAGAAGCGGGAAACUGAGGCUCCACGUUGACUGAAGUGGUCCAUGGUCACAGAUGAAGCGGGGGCAGAAACCCCAGCGCACUGAGCUCAAGGCCGGGUCCUCCGGGGGCCUCUCAGGACAGGCGGUGCACGGGGAGCCGGGUGUGCUGUCCCUCUACGUGUCGCUCCUCCUGCCGCUGCCUGGAGCUGCGGUCGCCCGAGCCCUGGAGCCACCCCCGCCGCUUCCUGCCGAGCCCGCAGCCGCCCCUUCGGGCCGAUACUUGAGCCAGCAGAUGAUCCAGGUGACGACCACCGAGAAGAGAGCCAGGAUGCUAGCCACUGACAGGCAGAUGGGUCCUACGGGCGAGGGCGAGGGCGAUCCGGGGGCUGGGGCGGGGCCGGGGGACGAACCGCUGCUCGGGGGUCCCCCACCCCCGCCGCCGCCCCCGCCGCCGCCGUAGUGAUUGACGAAGAUGAGGCCGGUGAACAGCAGCACCACCAUGGAGAGGAACGAGAAGACCACGCACACACAGCCGGCGGGCCCAGGCAGUCGUGCAGUGCUCAUCUCAGAGUGGAAGCGUAGAAGCGCAUUUUCCCUUCGCCGUUUGGAGGAAAUUUGGGAACCGGGCGGUAAGAACACUGCACUUUCCAUCCCUAUCCUCUGAAGAUCGCAAGGUGCCACGAGGAAUAGCUGCAGAAACGACUGGGAAGCAAACUCAAGAAAGAAACCAGCAAGAAUUUCCCAGAAGGGCCGGGGAUGCAGCUGAGUGGGGAGAGUGCUGACACGCACGCAGGAAAGCCCAGUGUCAUCCUGAGCACUACAUACAGCAUAAACCUGUAACAAUCCAGCACUUGGGAGGUGGGGGCAGCAGUCUAGAGAUUCUUAGCAUCCUCAACUACAUAUGGAGUUUGAGGCCAGCCAGGGCCUGUCUCCAAACACAAACUAAAACAAAGCAAAAUGAAUUUCUGGGGGAAUUCUAAGUGACUAUGACAUAUCUGGAGCAUUUGAAAAUAAGUACAGUUUUACUCUGUGUGAACAGUGAAAGCAAUCUGUUUUAAGUUAAACUUGUUAAAAACACUAACUUUUUUACUUUAGAGCUUUAUAAUUAUUAUUUGGGACAAUGUAUCUUUUUAAAUAUCUCACUCUGCGAUGGAGACAGUAAUGAGAGGUCCAGUUGAUGGGACAACAAAAAAGCUGUCCUCUGGCCUUGAAACUCAGAGCUAGCUGAGUUUCAAAAGUACUUCUCACUUGUCCACUUUCAGCAUGUGUGUCUCACACACAGUUUCACACUGGAUUCUUUACACUCUGAUUAGGUGUGUGCUAUGCUUGCAAUGUCAAUUAGAACUUGAAAUGGUCUCACAAGAGAGCUAAUGUGGAUGGGUAUGGUUCUUUUCACACACCCAGCUUCAUGCUGAAGAUGCCCAAAAGGUGACUGCAAGAGCUCUGAAGACAUGUGUGUUAGGAUAUAAUGUGUACUUGGGUAAAACACUUAAGCUUUAGCAGUUAUAGCCGGCAGUGCAUUCUCACCUUACACCAGGGCUUCUCAUACCAGCACUACUGACAUUUUGAACUGGUUAAAUUUUUAUUGCAGGUGCUGUUCUGUGCAUGGCCAAAGUUAAAUGGUGUCCUUGGCCUCUACUCAUUUGAAGUCAAUAGCAAAGCAUCCCAAUUUAACAACCAACGUUACCCCCUGAGGACAAAAUUAUCCCUGGCUACGACUUGCACAAAGACCACAGAUUUGCUUUAAGUGAGAUCUGAACCAGAUCUUCCAGCUCCUAUCUAGUAUAUGCAAGCAGGGUCCCCAAGGUAUUUAUCACAUCGUGAUAGGUCAUGGUGGUUUAAGUCCCAAAGCACAGAAUAAUCUUUGAAAGACACUGUUAUAAUUUUUGUGAAUACUUUCUAUAAACAAGUACAGGACUUUGGCUAACAAUGACAGAACUUACUGUGUUUGAGUAGGUUUUGUUUUUUGUUUUGUCUUGGGUAGACAGUAUCCCACACUAUAACUCAGGAUGACCUGGAACUCACUAGCAACAAACACAGCAAUCUUCCUCUGUUAGCCUCCCAAGUAUUGGAAUCACAGGCAUGAACCAGCACACACAGUUUGGAUAGUGUUUUGAGGGGAACCCAACACUUCAAUUAUUUUAUAUCUUGGGGACAGAUGUUAAUUUCUAGGACUCAUAAGGUGUUUUAUAAAGACUUCCUUGGAACAAUGGGGAGGGUUGGUGACAUCUAGAGACCUAGUGGACUAUAAUGCCCAGUCCAGUCAUGUUGCUUCCAAGAGUAAGCAUGGAAGCUUGGUCAUGUUGGGGAACUGGACUUUCCCUGGGAAGAAAAUGUGUUGAACUGGAACUUAAGUUGUCAACGAAUAGUUCAUUAUUCAUUCUAGGAUUUGAAUUGGCUUCACCAGAACACUACUCGUAUCUUGAACAUAUUAGAUACUAUUUGCUGGAUUAUUUUAUUUUUGAGGACCCAAGGAAAUGGGAAACAGCCAUGCUCUCUAACUAUCUCUUGUCUAUGGUCCUUCCCUUGGCUACCUAAAGAAUGUUCUAGUUUCAGAAGUCUCUGUCUCAACAAAAGGUUUAAGAGAUUUUCAUUCACAGAACAUGUGCCUUGGCAGUUCCAGAUCCUAGGUUGGCUUUUCACCUUUUGUGUAUUUGUAGGCUACCUUUUCUGUGCCUUGGUUCCCCAAACUAAAAUUUGGACAAAAGUACUUACUGUGUAGUUAUUUAUUGCACAUUGUAAGGAUCGGAUGUGUUGUGUAUGUAACAUGAAAUAAUAGGCCCUGGGCACUGGUAACACUCAUUAUUAUUUAUGUUGGGGUUCCUGUAUGCCUUCUAGGGAUCCUCACAGGCAUUUGUGAGGAUCUCUAGAUCAGUGUCCUCAGUGUCUGUGGGACCCAGUCCAAAGUGGAGCAGCCAAAGGCAAUGGGGCAGAUGUCAUCCAGUUCUUCUGACAAUCAAAGUUGAGACACAGGUAGCAUCCCAGCCACAGGACCAGCUUUCCUCUGAAGUCAGCCACACUCCACAGAUCUGCCAGCUGUAAUAAACAAAGCCCUUCAUAAAUCCUCAGGGCCAAGUGAAAUCUCAUUGUUCAUAUUGGAGGGAUAGAUGUCUAGGCAGAUAAAGCUACUCAGAAUCAAGUAUUAAAUCAUUCCAUCAAAUAGUUGACAUUUUAAAAUAGAAACCAGGUCGAUGAAAUUCAGCAUUUGCCCAGGUCCUGUUUCAGAAGGCAUUGAAACUGGUGAGGAUGCCUGGCCUCUAGCAACCAAGAGUUCAAUGGAAGAGUCCAAGGAAACAGACUGAGCUGUGACUAUCCUAGAGGAGACAAUGAGACAGAAAAAGGGCACUGGGGACAACCUAAGGAAAUUUGAAUAAAGUCGAUUUUAGUGAACAAUAAUGUAUAAAAAUGGGUCUUUGGUUAUGAUAAAUAUAGAAUAUUAAUGUAAGGUAUAAAAACAAGAAACUAGGUGUGGUGAUUCUGAGGACACUGGGAAUCUUUGCAAGUUUCUGUAAGUCUAAAACUAUUCUAAAAUAUAAGUUUAAUUUUCAUUGUAUAGAUUUCUGGAAUUGUUUUUGUUGGCUUUGCAAUACUGUAACAAAAUUGCUGAGAUAACCAAAUUAUAAAGGACAAAGGCUU
rnacentral:lncRNA from 1 species